rnacentral:rRNA from 1 species
GACGAACGCUGGCGGCGCGCUUAACACAUGCAAGUCGAGCGAGAACCAGUCCUUCGGGACUGGGGGAAGCGGCGAACGGGUGAGUAACACGUGGGUAAUCUGCCCUCGGCACUGGGAUAGCCCGGGGAAACCCGGAUUAAUACCGGAUAGCCUUUCGAGCCUUUGCGCCCGUCAGAAAAGGUGCCUUCGGCUUCCGGCUGGGGAUGAGGCCGCGGCGGAUUAGCUUGUUGGUGGGGUAAUGGCCUACCAAGGCGACGAUCCGUAGCUGGUCUGAGAGGACGAUCAGCCACACUGGGACUGAGACACGGCCCAGACUCCUACGGGAGGCAGCAGUGGGGAAUCUUGCGCAAUGGGCGAAAGCCUGACGCAGCGACGCCGCGUGCGGGAAGAAGGCCUUCGGGUUGUAAACCGCUUUCAGGAGGGACGAAGCCACCCGGGUUAAUAGCCCAGAGGGUGACGGUACCUCCAGAAGAAGCCCCGGCUAACUACGUGCCAGCCGCCGCGGUAAUAC